AGAACGAACGCUGGCGGCAGGCUUAACACAUGCAAGUCGAACGGAUGUAGCAAUACAUUAGUGGCGCACGGGUGAGUAACGCGUGGGAACGUGCCUUUUAGUUUGGGAUAACAGUUGGAAACGACUGCUAAUACCGGAUACGCCCUUCGGGGGAAAGAUUUAUCGCUAAAAGAUCGGCCCGCGUAAGAUUAGGUAGUUGGUGGGGUAAUGGCCUACCAAGCCUACGAUCUUUAGCUGGUCUGAGAGGAUGAUCAGCCACACUGGAACUGAGACACGGUCCAGACUCCUACGGGAGGCAGCAGUGGGGAAUAUUGGACAAUGGGCGAAAGCCUGAUCCAGCCAUGCCGCGUGAGUGAUGAAGGCCUUAGGGUUGUAAAGUCUCUUUUGUCAGGGAAGAUAAUGACGGUACCUGAAGAUAAGCACCGGCUAACUUCGCGCCAGCAGCCGC
rnacentral:rRNA from 1 species